rnacentral:rRNA from 1 species
CCUUGUACACACCGCCCGUCAAGUCAUGAAAGUCGGUAACACCCGAAGCCAGUGGCCCAACCGCAAGGAGGGAGCUGUCGAAGGUGGGAUCGGUGAUUAGACU